GUGUCAGCAGCCGCGGUAAUACGAAUGGGGCAAGCGUUGUUCGGAAUCACUGGGCUUAAAGCGUGCGUAGGCGGAUCUGCAAGUCAGAAGUGAAAUCCCCGGGCUUAACCCGGGAACUGCUUUUGAAACUGCAAAUCUGGAAUCCGGGAGGGGUUAGGAGAAUUCCUAGUGUAGAGGUGAAAUUCGCAGAUAUUAGGAGGAAUACCAGUGGCGUAGGCGCCUAACUGGACCGGUAUUGACGCUGAGGUACGAAAGCGUGGGUAGCAAACAGGAUUAGAUACCCUGGUAGUCC
rnacentral:rRNA from 1 species